rnacentral:rRNA from 1 species
GUUUGAUAUUGAGUACCUGUAAGUCAUGUACAGGAUAGGUAGGAGCCAUUGAAAUAGGGACGCUAGUUUCUAUUGAGGCGUUGUUGGGAUACUACCCUUGACUUAUGGUUACUCUAACCCGCUGGCAUAAUCGGCCAGGGAGACAGUGUCUGACGGACAGUUUGACUGGGGCGGUCGCCUCCUAAAGAGUAACGGAGGCGCUCAAAGGUUGGCUCAGAUUGGUUGGAAAUCAAUCG